GGUCUAUACUUCAUUUUUCCACAGACAGCAGGCGCUUAACCAGCUUAAUUACCUGCCGAGGAACAAGCUCAUGAUUGUGGCUAUUUCUGGCCACUCAUAUGCAUUGUUUGUCUGCGGAAAACCGCAGAUUUUUUUAUUAACAA
rfam:Bacterium CG10_46_32 isolate CG10_46_32 CG10_big_fil_rev_8_21_14_0.10_scaffold_808, whole genome shotgun sequence.